GCAGCUUUAAGUGCCUUGAAACAAUUUUCUGAACAAGGACUGGAUCCAAUGGAAGGGGCAAUGAAUAUUGAAAAAGGUUCUCUUGAAAAACAAGCCCAGCAUCUGGGAGAGAAAGCGGACAAUAACCAGACACACCCGGGCUCCAUCGCUCAGGACUGCAAGAAAUCAAAGUCGCUCAUCUAGCAGCUCCCAGAACCGCGGCUGCCACCGCAUCCUUAUAAACCUGUCAGCACGCAUGAGGGUGUCUGUGUUCAAGGAAAUGAAUGACUAAUACCAUUAUUUGAGUCUUACGUGAAGACAACACUAUUCUAACACGAGAGAUAAUAUACAUAGCACUGUUUACUCAACUGGGGAAAAAUAAAACUUUGAGCGUUUCCCUUGGAACUUGAGAUCAGAUCAUAACUCAUUGGCCCAGAGGCAGCAGAAAUCUGAUCCUGCUACUGGAGCUUAAAAUAACAGUUAGUGAGAAGUGUUAGAAACAGAGGUAAAAAUUUUAAAUGAUUAAUAGAGAAAUCGGGUUUGGUUCUGUUGUUAUGAUUGUUUUGUCGUGGCGCUUGUGUUCAGUUCUACUCUCUCUCUCUCUCUCUCUCUCUCUCGUUUUAAAUAAUGCUUGAUGAUUCAAAGAUUAACCAAUGACGUGCUGUGGAAUGUGAUGGUUGUUGUCUUCAUAUAGAGUCACGCGGUUUCUCUUUUUAUGCCGAUAUUUGUAAUCUUCAUCCUGAGUAUCAAUAUGAGUAACUUGAAGGCGCACGCCUCAAAGAUGUAUGCAAACAAGCAAGGUUUAAAUCAGGUCAGAUAUUUUAUUUAAGAUACGAAAUAACGUUAGGAACAACUCGUUUCAAUGUACUCCGGGAAUCGAGCGAAACCAGCCCGCUGUGGGUUCUGAGCUCCGCAAUACUAGGAGCCACUAAGGAGGCGUCUUGCCUCCACACCCCGUUUCUCUGGCUUCCACGUUCUGCCGUGGAAAUCGCACCCAGCCUCAUCCGUGUGUCGUAGCCACUCACUGUUUUGCCUCGAGCGUGUUCUUAGUAGCUGCCUCUGGACUCGGGACGGUGCGGAGGAUCAAAGAAACCCCGUCCGAGGCGGGCCAGCGAAGGCCCGGCCGAGGAGCCGUCCGCGUCUUGCCGGCUUGUAGCCAGCCACGCUCGGGACCAGCAUGGUGGAAUCCGGCGUGCCACGAAUGCAGUAAAAAUGUGGUCGGUUUCUGUGUGAA